rnacentral:rRNA from 1 species
UACGAAGGGGGCUAGCGUUGCUCGGAAUCACUGGGCGUAAAGCGCACGUAGGCGGAUUGUUAAGUCAGGGGUGAAAUCCUGGAGCUCAACUCCAGAACUGCCUUUGAUACUGGGAGUCUCGAGUCCGGGAGAGGUGAGUGGAACUGCGAGUGUAGAGGUGAAAUUCGUAGAUAUUCGCAAGAACACCAGUGGCGAAGGCGGCUCACUGGCCCGGUACUGACGCUGAGGUGCGAAAGCGUGGGGAGCAAACAGG